UGGACCCUGAAGGUCACCUUAGCUCUGUUUUAUUUAGCCCCACAUAGGAAGCCAUAAGGACACUCACAGAAAAGUCAUUCUGUGCAGAGACAGUAUGCAGACACAGCCAUGAUGGUUCAUGGCUCCAUCUCAGGUACUUUUAACAUCAACCAGCAAAAUCACGGCCAUCUAUCACGCACUGUCCUUUUCCUCUUGCUACUUCAAGAGGAAAGUUUUCAAGACGAACACUGCAAACUGGUGUCUUAGUGUCUCCUCCAGGAGCUGCUGGAUUUUAGGCUUUCCUGCCAGCUCAUAAAACAGUGAACCUCCUCUGCUAAAGUGAGGGCUUCGAGAGGCACUUCACAGAGAUGAGUUUAUUUUAAAGAAAGUGCCUACCCUGGAGAUUGAUUUCAUGCUUCUGGACGCUGCUUUUGCAGGCCUCGAGGUGCGGUGUUUGUGCCCCUGCACAUCUGAAGCCACUUUAUAGGGAACUAGAGUGAGGUG
rnacentral:lncRNA from 1 species